rnacentral:rRNA from 1 species
UACGUAGGGGGCUAGCGUUGUCCGGAAUCAUUGGGCGUAAAGCGCGUGUAGGCGGUCCGGUAAGUCCGCUGUGAAAGUCGGGGGCUCAACCCUCGGAUGGCGGUGGAUACUGUCGGGCUUGAGUACGGAAGAGGCGAGUGGAAUUCCUGGUGUAGCGGUGAAAUGCGCAGAUAUCAGGAGGAACACCAAUUGCGAAGGCAGCUCGCUGGGACGUUACUGACGCUGAGACGCGAAAGCGUGGGGAGCAAACAGG